rnacentral:rRNA from 1 species
GCUGACGAGUGGCGGACGGGUGAGUAAUGUCUGGGAAACUGCCUGAUGGAGGGGGAUAACUACUGGAAACGGUGGCUAAUACCGCAUAACGUCGCAAGACCAAAGAGGGGGACCUUCGGGCCUCUUGCCAUCAGAUGUGCCCAGAUGGGAUUAGCUUGUUGGUGAGGUAACGGCUCACCAAGGCGACGAUCCCUAGCUGGUCUGAGAGGAUGACCAGCCACACUGGAACUGAGACACGGUCCAGACUCCUACGGGAGGCAGCAGUGGGGAAUAUUGCACAAUGGGCGCAAGCCUGAUGCAGCCAUGCCGCGUGUAUGAAGAAGGCCUUCGGGUUGUAAAGUACUUUCAGCGGGGAGGAAGGUGUUGUGGUUAAUAACCGCAGCAAUUGACGUUACCCGCAGAAGAAGCACCGGCUAACUCCGUGCCAGCAGCCGCGGUAAUACGGAGGGUGCAAGCGUUAAUCGGAAUUACUGGGCGUAAAGCGCACGCAGGCGGUCUGUCAAGUCGGAUGUGAAAUCCCCGGGCUCAACCUGGGAACUGCAUUCGAAACUGGCAGGCUUGAGUCUUGUAGAGGGGGGUAGAAUUCCAGGUGUAGCGGUGAAAUGCGUAGAGAUCUGGAGGAAUACCGGUGGCGAAGGCGGCCCCCUGGACAAAGACUGACGCUCAGGUGCGAAAGCGUGGGGAGCAAACAGGAUUAGAUACCCUGGUAGUCCACGCCGUAAACGAUGUCUACUUGGAGGUUGUGCCCUUGAGGCGUGGCUUCCGGAGCUAACGCGUUAAGUAGACCGCCUGGGGAGUACGGCCGCAAGGUUAAAACUCAAAUGAAUUGACGGGGGCCCGCACAAGCGGUGGAGCAUGUGGUUUAAUUCGAUGCAACGCGAAGAACCUUACCUGGUCUUGACAUCCACGGAAGUUUUCAGAGAUGAGAAUGUGCCUUCGGGAACCGUGAGACAGGUGCUGCAUGGCUGUCGUCAGCUCGUGUUGUGAAAUGUUGGGUUAAGUCCCGCAACGAGCGCAACCCUUAUCCUUUGUUGCCAGCGGUUAGGCCGGGAACUCAAAGGAGACUGCCAGUGAUAAACUGGAGGAAGGUGGGGAUGACGUCAAGUCAUCAUGGCCCUUACGACCAGGGCUACACACGUGCUACAAUGGCGCAUACAAAGAGAAGCGACCUCGCGAGAGCAAGCGGACCUCAUAAAGUGCGUCGUAGUCCGGAUUGGAGUCUGCAACUCGACUCCAUGAAGUCGGAAUCGCUAGUAAUCGUGGAUCAGAAUGCCACGGUGAAUACGUUCCCGGGCCUUGUACACACCGCCCGUCACACCAUGGGAGUGGGUUGCAAAAGAAGUAGGUAGCUUAACCUUCGGGAGGGCGCUUACCACUUUGUGAUUCAUGACUGGGGUGAAGUCGUAACAAGGUAACCGUAGGGGAACCUGCGGUUG